CUACUAUCCCUCCUCCUACCUGAGAGACAUUGACAGCUCCUGUUGGCUGGAGGGAGGGGUACCACUUUCUUCAGUGAGGUAGCCACUGGAAGAGAGAUGUAGGAAAGUCCACACUGAACAAACUGAGCCUCCAAACAAGAGCUCUAUGAGACAGCCUUCUUGGAUGAGAAUCCUCAGGCCUGCCGCAGCCUUCACAUAACUUCAGCCUUCAGCAACAUGUUGACAACACCUCAGGAGACUGACCCAGAGCUACUGGCUGACUCUUGGCUUCACAGACUGCACGAGAGAAUAAAUGUUGGCUGUUCCAAGAUGUUAUGUUUUAAGUAAUUUGUUGGAAAACUAAUACAACAGAACAUUGUUUGCAUUAAAAAAUGGAAAAUAAAAUUACACCUUAUUUGCUUUUA